GGUUCGGUGGUGUAGUGGUUAUCACGUCUGUCUCACAUCAAUGAAAUUUUCGAGAUGUACACAGGAGGUCCCCGGUUCGAAACCGGGUCGAAUCA